rnacentral:lncRNA from 1 species
CUCUUGGGAUGUGUCACAUGUUCCUCCAAUUACCCCGCUUUCAGUUUCAGGGCACUGAGCAGGGCCGCUCAAAAGGUAAACAGACAGCUGAGCUAACACUACAGAUUUAAAACGUCGCUUGAACAUACCCAUUCAAUAAAGAGACAAAGGGGCCACACUGGCCUUUUUUUCCGCCCUAAAAAUCUGGAAAGCAACUGGGUUUUCUAUCACACUUUUGGGGGUUUGAACAGUAUCCAGACAUCUGUAAGAUGUGUAUUUUUAAUCACAUCUGACUUUCACUCCCAAGCCUUGUGUACCGAAACUUUAAACUGCCAUGUGGCCUACAAGCCUGCAAAGCAUCCCCCACCCCUAAACACGUGAAGUUUCCAAAAGCAUUUGUUCCCAAUUUCUGCAGUGUGGGAUAGAGCACAUCCACUGGACUCCCUGACUCUUAGAAAACUGGAAACCAAGCUUGAUUUGGCAGUGUUUCUGCGAGCUGCACCUUCCCGGGAGACUUGCCUUAGCUCCCUCUCUCUCUGACCACGUAAAGUUUUGUUUGUUUGUUUGGGUGAAAUGAUGCAAUAAUUUUGCUACCAAAUAAAGAAAAUACUUGUUGAGCAUUUAUUAGGUAAGAGACUCUGUGCUAGCAGUGAAGUGGAGGUGUGUGGGGGGAUGAUACAGUGCCUGCCAUCACUGAGCUUGGGGUCCAGUCAAAAAAGAAGACAGAGGCGGGGGAAAUGGUCAAUAGCAAUCAAAGAAGAAAAGAACUAUAUGGAAAAUAACAGAGAACAAACGAUCUCCCAGCUUUGCUCAGGAAGUACAGGAUGUAAAAUCAACCCUCUUGCUCCAAGAAAGAGAAAUACCAAAAAGGACCCCAAUCCAUAAGCGUUAACAUCAAGGCCAGGCUUGGACCUAGAAGCAGAACUUGGGAGAGCAAGUGGAGUAGAGGGCCAAAGUGAAUAGAGAAGCUAAAGAAAAGGCAUUCUGCUACGAGGAUACUCAGAAUUCAUCUCAGCCAUCUGGAGUCGGAUAAUAACUUGAAGAUAUUCUGAAGUUAGCCUUUUAUUUAUUUAAACAUUCU